rnacentral:rRNA from 1 species
UACAGAGGUCCCAAGCGUUGUUCGGAUUCACUGGGCGUAAAGGGUGCGUAGGUGGUUGGGCAAGUCUGAUGUGAAAUCUCCGGGCUUAACCCGGAAAUGGCAUUGGAAACUGCCUGGCUAGAGUGUUGGAGGGGGGACUGGAAUUCUCGGUGUAGCAGUGAAAUGCGUAGAUAUCGAGAGGAACACCAGUGGCGAAGGCGAGUCCCUGGACAACGACUGACACUGAGGCACGAAAGCGUGGGGAGCAAACAGG